CUAGCGGCAGCGGCUGCCCCUGGGAGGGGCUCCGGGGAGCGGGGGCUGCUUGGGCUAGUGCCCGGGAGAGUGGUUUGCCCUGAAGAGAGAUGCCCCCCGGUAAUGCGCACCGAUCACUAAAGGAGCCAGUGAGCGAGUUAGGCCAUUUAGCAGGAGCCCUGUGAGUCCCAGGAUAUUAGCGAAACAACAUCUUGUACUGGGCCAACGUGGGGGCUGGAAGCAUCUCUCUCUCACCAACAGAAAUUGGGCCAAUAAAAGCUAUGACCUCACCCACCUUGUCUCCGAAGUAUUCCUAGGAAUAUAGAAAUUGCCAUAUCAUCAUGGGCAGCGCAUGCAUCCAGCUGGGGGAGGCUAGCCCCCAGCCCUGCCUCUUCCAGGUGUGGGAAUCAAACUGGGAGACAAAGGAUUCCCACCAUAAGCAAAAACUAUUUAAGGCAGGGGAAUGACAUCAUCAUGGUUCAUUCUUCACUGAUUCCCCGCCCAAGAAAGAAGGCUGCUGGAAACGCCUGAGAAACAAAAAGACUGAGCUGGGGGAGAAAGGUUGAACCCAGGCUAGAGGGAUUUCUAGCCUGUGAAAGGAAUAACUGGAGUUAUAAGCUGUAAGCAAGUGCAGCUUGCCUUCAAGAAUCUCUGCAAUCUGCCUAAAACAUCAUUUAGGCUGGAUGUGUCCCUACCUGUGAAAGUAUGAGACCGGGAGCCUGUCUGCAGCUUGUCACAGCAUUACAGGAUGAAAGGGAGCCCAGGCUGGUGGAUCAGCUUGUUGUCACUCUGUGUGUCCAAGAUGUUUACUCAAGAUUAAUUAGUGGUCCUGGGAGAGACAGAGGACAGAGAAGCGAACUCUAAGAGAAAUGUCUGCCUAGAAAAUGCUGCAAGAAAAGCUAUCUGCCCUAAGCAUUGUGCAUCGAAAGUGACAAACUCCAUAGCUUAUCAUUUAAGAACAUCAAUGAAUUUGCUCUCCAAAAAAAUCAUGAUAGAAAAUGUUCUAAAUUGUAUUAAUGUAUUAAAUGUAUUAAAAUUAAUGUGAUAUGCAAACAGACAUACUGCAGCUUGUACUGCUUCCAUUAAGUAAGCUUGUCUAUGUAACUGUAACUGCUUUUGUGUAGCUUUAGAUAUAAACUUUUCAUAUCUACUAAUUAAGAAAUCAUAGAUGAAAAUAUGUUAAUUUGAAACUAUUUUAUAAUGCAAACAGGCAUAUUGCAAGACAUGUUUUAGUUGGAUUAUUAUUCUAUUUUUAUAACUUUGCCUUUGUAUAUAUGCAAAUAUAAAGUUUUCGUGUUUAUAUAUUCAAUGUCCUUUCUGUGAAAAUAUUUUUUUUUAAAUUAUGGUAUGGGGCCUCUUACACUUGACAGAGUUUAGGGCUUCAGAAUGUCAUAAUCCAGCCCUGUGUGGAGCAUAUGCCUUUCACAGAAGACUAAAUUGUUUUGUCAGCCAUAGAAUAUGCCUUUGCAAACACUCUUAAGAGCAAUAAAGUGUUUAUUUAUUGGCCUUUUUUAUGGAUCUGAGGCUGCCCAGGACUUUAUGAUCUUCACUAUACUUAAUUCCAGGACUGCUCAGGACUUCACUAUUAUGACUAGAGAUACAACUCAGCUCUUUCCUCUCCAAAGGCCUGAUCCAAAGCCCACUGAAGUCAGUGCUGUCACUUGAUAGCGCCUAUCACCUGGGAUAAAGGAGAAUCACUUUUAGAUUUAGCAAUAUUUUCUUUUUUAUUAUAUUUUACUUUAAAGACUUAUGGGUAAAAUCCUGAUCUCAGCAUACAAGUUGUCAUAACUAUAAAGGGAAGGGUAACAGCUGUCCUGUGUACAGUACUAUAAAAUCCCUCCUGGCCAGAGACUCCAAAAUCCUUUUCCCUGUAAAGGGUUAAGAAGCUCAGGUAACCUG